UCGGUAGCUUCUUCUGCUUUACUCGUCGCCGGCCACAUUCUCUCUCUGAAUUUUAAUAAAGCGAAUUAGGGUUUAUAAGCUUCACCAUUCCGUUUCAAGCCGACCCUAAAACCCUAAUCUCCAAAUCGGAAGGAAAUGCCAGGGCCACCGCUAGAAAUGGAGCCAGUGGAGCCGCAGUCAUUGAAGAAGCUCAGCCUUAAAUCCCUAAAGCGUGCUCUCGAUCUCUUUAGCCCUAGCCAUGGCCAAUUCGCUGCUCCUGACUCUGAAAGCAAAAAAAUUCGCUUGAGCCACAAGAUAAAUGUUGAGUAUAGUGGAAUAAAAACUGCCCCGGGUCAACCUUUGAAGCAAGUUAAUUCCAGUGUUGCCGAUGAUAAGUGUCGAGGUUCGGCCCCUUCGAAUGCCCUUGCUCUUACAGGGCCUGCAGAUUCUUGCGAUUCACAAAAAGAAGGGACUCAAAAUGCUUUACUUGUUGGUCCAUCUUUGCAACCAAAGAUGCAAAACAAUGUUGGUACUUCCGGCAAAGGCACCGCCAUGGUUUCGGCUUCCGCACCCUUUUCUGAAAGGCUAACAACAUCUGCAAUAAUAGAAAGAAUCCCAAGCAAGUGGCCAUGUCCUGUAUGGCAUCGUCCUUGGAAGAACUACAGGGUUAUUAGUGGCCAUUUGGGAUGGGUGAGAUCGGUAGCUUUUGAUCCAAGUAACAACUGGUUUUGUACUGGUUCCGCAGACCGUACAAUCAAGAUAUGGGAUGUAGCAAGUGGACGGCUAAAGCUCACACUAACCGGACACAUUGAACAGAUACGAGGCCUCGCUGUCAGUAGCAAACAUACAUAUAUGUUUUCAGCUGGUGAUGAUAAGCAAGUUAAAUGCUGGGACCUUGAACAGAACAAGGUUAUUCGAUCUUAUCAUGGUCACUUAAGUGGUGUUUAUUGCUUGGCUCUUCAUCCUACUAUAGACAUUCUGUUAACUGGGGGACGUGAUUCUGUUUGCCGGGUAUGGGAUAUUCGCACCAAGAUGCAAAUUUUUGCAUUGUCUGGGCAUGAUAACACUGUUUGCUCGGUUUUUACUCGACCAACAGAUCCACAAGUUGUCACUGGCUCCCACGAUACAACGAUAAAAUUCUGGGACCUUAGAUACGGAAAAACGAUGUCAACUCUAACGCAUCAUAAGAAGUCUGUACGAGCAAUGGCGCCACAUCCUAAAGAGCAUUCUUUUGCAUCUGCAUCAGCUGACAACAUAAAGAAAUUCAGUCUUCCAAAGGGAGAAUUCUUACACAAUAUGCUCUCUCAGCAAAAGACUAUAAUUAACACCAUGGCUGUUAAUGAGGACGGUGUAAUGGCUACCGGAGGUGACAACGGGAGUUUGUGGUUCUGGGAUUGGAGAAGCGGUCACAAUUUCCAGCAAGCUCAUACAAUCGUGCAGCCCGGCUCAUUGGAUAGUGAAGCUGGUAUAUACGCUCUCUCAUACGAUGUAACUGGUACAAGAUUGGUUAGCUGUGAAGCUGACAAGACGAUUAAAAUGUGGAAAGAAGAUGAAACCGCAACCGAACAAACUCAUCCUCUCAACUUCAAACCACCCAAAGAUAUCCGCCGGUUCUAGCCACGCCUUCGAUUUUGCUCAGUUACCUAUCCCGAGUCUUGUACAAUGCUUUUAAGAUAUGUAAGAGCAAUCAAUUAUUGAAUUUCAGGGUUUGGGGUCUCAAGUCUCAACAUUGCUGACUUUUGGUAUACAAAAAUGAUAGAAUUCUGCCAAUGAAGGAACAUGGGCCCAAUUUUAAAUCAAAUUAUUUAAUUUCUUUACCCCCACUUAUUGUUUAUUGCAAUGAAAUCCAUCAAACGAUUGGGACAAGGGAUCGUAGUUUCCGGAUCAAAUUGUACACUUUAUAUACCCGAUAAAAGUUGUAUUAUCUCAUGUAUGAUAUCAUAAUAGUUUGGGUUUUGUUCA